AUUGAACGCUGGCGGCAGGCUUAACACAUGCAAGUCGAGCGGGGGAAGGUAGCUUGCUACCGGACCUAGCGGCGGACGGGUGAGUAAUGCUUAGGAAUCUGCCUAUUAGUGGGGGACAACAUCUCGAAAGGGAUGCUAAUACCGCAUACGUCCUACGGGAGAAAGCAGGGGAUCUUCGGACCUUGCGCUAAUAGAUGAGCCUAAGUCGGAUUAGCUAGUUGGUGGGGUAAAGGCCUACCAAGGCGACGAUCUGUGGCGGGUCUGAGAGGAUGAUCCGCCACACUGGGACUGAGACACGGCCCAGACUCCUACGGGGGGAAGCAGUGGGGAAUAUUGGAAAAUGGGGGGAACCCUGAUCCAGCCAUGCCGCGUGUGUGAAGAAGGCCUUAUGGUUGUAAAGCACUUUAAGCGAGGAGGAGGCUACUCUAGUUAAUACCUAGGGAUAGUGGACGUUACUCGCAGAAUAAGCACCGGCUAACUCUGUGCCAGCCGCCGCCGUAA
rnacentral:rRNA from 1 species